UGCGCCUGAAAAUUUAGCAAAGUUCUGACUAUGCUGAUCAGCCAGACUAUGAAGCUGGAUUGCAGGAUUUCCUUGAGCGUUUGACAAACUAUGAGAAGGUCUAUGAGCCAGUGGAGGAAGGUUCUUAUAUCAAAAUGAUUGAUAUGGUUAAAGGGGAGGGUGGUCAGUUACAGGUGAACAAUAUCAGUGGCUAUCUCCCUGGUCGUAUUGUCCUUUUCUUGGUAUGUACUUCAAUGCUUAGUUGCUUACACUAUAAAUUUGAUAUAUGAUU